AUUGAACGCUGGCGGCAGGCCUAACACAUGCAAGUCGAGCGGAUGAAGGGAGCUUGCUCCUGGAUUCAGCGGCGGACGGGUGAGUAAUGCCUAGGAAUCUGCCUGGUAGUGGGGGAUAACGUCCGGAAACGGGCGCUAAUACCGCAUACGUCCUGAGGGAGAAAGUGGGGGAUCUUCGGACCUCACGCUAUCAGAUGAGCCUAGGUCGGAUUAGCUAGUUGGUGGGGUAAAGGCCUACCAAGGCGACGAUCCGUAACUGGUCUGAGAGGAUGAUCAGUCACACUGGAACUGAGACACGGUCCAGACUCCUACGGGAGGCAGCAGUGGGGAAUAUUGGACAAUGGGCGAAAGCCUGAUCCAGCCAUGCCGCGUGUGUGAAGAAGGUCUUCAGAUUGUAAAGCACUUUAAGUUGGGAGGAAGGGCAGUAAGUUAAUACCUUGCUGUUUUGACGUUACCAACAGAAUAAGCACCGGCUAACUUCGU
rnacentral:rRNA from 1 species